rnacentral:rRNA from 1 species
AUGUGUAGCGGUAAAAUGCGUAAAUAUAUGGAGGAACACCAGUAGCGAAGGCGGCUUGCUGGGCUGUAACUGACGCUGAGGCACGAAAGCGUGGGGAGCAAACAGGAUUAGAUACCCUGGUAGUCCACGCCGUAAACGAUGAGUACUAAGUGUUGGGGUAGCCCAGUGCUGAAGUUAACGUAAUAAGUACUCCGCCUGAGUAGUACGUGCGCAAGCAUGAAACUCAAAGGAAUUGACGGGACCCCGCACAAGCGGUGGAUCAUGUUGUUUAAUUCGAGGAUACGCGAAGAACCUUACCAGGUCUUGACAUACCAUGCAAAGCUAUAGAGAUAUAGUGGAGGUUAACAUGGAUACAGGUGGUGCAUGGUUGUCGUCAGCUCGUGUCGUGAGAUGUUGGGUUAAGUCCCGCAACGAGCGCAACCCUUAUUGCUAGUUGCCAUCAUUAAGUUGGGGACUCUAGCGAGACUGCCAGUGACAAACUGGAGGAAGGUGGGGAUGACGUCAAAUCAUCAUGCCCCUUAUGACCUGGGCUACAAACGUGAUACAAUGGCUGUAACAAAGAGCAGCAAGAGCGCGAGCUUAAGCAAAACUCAGAAAAGCAGUCCCAGUUCGGAUUAGAGUCUGCAACUCGACUCUAUGAAGUCGGAAUCGCUAGUAAUCGUAGAUCAGAAUGCUACGGUGAAUACGUUCUCGGGGUUUGUACACACCGCCCGUCAAACCAAGAAAGUUGGUAAUACCCAAAGCCGGUGGCCUAACCUAUUAGGGGGGAGCCGUUUAAGGUAGGACUGAUGAUCGGGGUUAAGUCGUAACAAGGUAACCGUA